rnacentral:lncRNA from 1 species
UGUUUAAGUUUGGGGUUGUGAUAACCGACAAAAAUGUAGGUUAUUACCUUCAAUUUUACCUCUAAAUCAAGUUUCUUUUGAGUGAUUGCAUAACAUAUUUCUCCUUAUUUUGUGUUUUUAAUUGUUUUACUAUGCUGAUCUCCUCUGCAAUUUAUUGCAUGAUUUUUGAACAUUUGACUUGCUUCGAGCAUGUUUGGUUAUGUAGGAAUGGAGAUGGAUAAAAGGUAGGUCACGAGAAAGCUUCCAAGUGGACGGAUACAUCUUUUGUUGAAGUUUGUUAAUGGAUUCUUGCUAGGCCAGCAGGCGCUAGGCGCCAGAACCAUGCUUCAAAGGCGCCAGACACUAGAAGAAGGGCGCUAGGCGCUAGCAUAUCACUUCAGAGGCGCCAGCUCCCUGGAAGUGGGCGCUAGGCGCCCAUGCAGCAGCGCAGCGCUGCGAUUGUUCGUGUUUCUCAACCGUGCACCGGCGCUAGGUGCCCUAGUCGGGUCAAAGCGCCCCGUGUUGGGCAUGUUAUGCUAUAAAUACGUUUUUAAUCAAAACAUAGGGUUUGGAAUCAAUUUGGAGUGGAGAAACCUGUGACCUAGCAGACAAGACAUAAAGGAGGCGGCUUUCAACACCAUUGAAGGAGAUUUAUCAAGAAUUGUUCAUGGAUUGUUCUUGUAAUUCUUCUUUAAUCUCUUUCUUUUGUUUAUUUGCUAUGAAUAACUAAACCCUCCGUUGUUGGGGAUGAGUAGACCUAGAUGAAUACUUUUGUCAUGUGAUUGGAUUAUGAUUAUUGCUGAAACUUAUUGAAUUGUUUUUCUUA